ensembl:snRNA U6 U6 spliceosomal RNA
GUGGUCACUUUGGUAGCACAUAUACUACUAUUGGAAUGAUACAGAGAAGAUUAGCAUGGCCCCUGCUCAAAGGUGACACACAGUUGAAGUUGUAGUAGAAUGCAUUU